GGUGUCGAGGGGAGCUCUGAGAGCUGAGGUCUGCCUAAUCUCCGUAGCAUCCGCUAGCAGCAGGGCCUGCAGUCCCAGGGUCCUCCUUAAGAGCCUUGCAAAGCCCAUGCAGUUUCUGACUAUAAAAGCCGCUCUUGCGCACAAGGUCUUGCGGCUGCUGCUUUCCUCCUUUGCUUUUGUGACAUUCAGCUCAGCUGUAAGAACAUGUGUGGCCCCAUGCCAUCAGUAGACGCACCAUCCAAGCCACCCUGAGCAGCCCGCAGCUCCUAGAGCAUGAGGUAAUGGAUUGCAGGGAGCCAACAUGAGGCAUGAGAGCCAAAAAAUACACGGAAAUUGAGAGACAAGUGAUAAAAGGGAUAUGAGCGUUAAAUAACAGAAAGGCAUAAGAAAGCUUGAGAGGCAAAUGGCAGCAGUGUCAGAGGUAGUAGGGCACGGUUGGCCGGAAGCAUUGCAGUUUCCAGAAUGAAGCUUUAACUAAGCCUUGUGCAAUGGAGUUCCUUUUCAGCAGCAAGAUUUAUAUCUGGGUUUUGUUGCAACUGUGAUGGAUCGUUAAUGCUUUAUUUUUAUACAUAUCUUUAAUUUACAAUACUGUAUGUAGGUCAGGUUGUACUUUUGAGAAAUAUUUCCACCUGCUCCUCAUGUUCGCCUUGAUCUGAAAUGAAAUGCUGGCUUACAAGUAACUAUAAAAUGCACUCCUAAAUUAUCCACAGGACUCUCCCUCUGAGUCCAAGGCUAGGCAUUGUAACAGAUGGACUUCACUCUGUCAUUAAGUCAUGUUUAAGGUACAAGUAGCAUUAAUGUUCAGAGAGAACAAUACAAAAUACAGGAUCCCAUGUCUUUAAACUCAGAUAUAAGCCACGCAGUGAGUUGUUUUCUAGUUUCACUCCCUUGGUCAGGGACAGUAAACAUUUGAAAGGAAGUUAAUCAGCCCCUCUAAAGGGAUUUUUUCCAACAACAAGCCAUCAUCUGAAUGCAAAUGUGAUCUGAAAGUCAAUAUGUACCUUCAGAGGAACUUUGGAAGAAAUACAGGUAACUGAAGGGAAAAACAGGAUUCCUGGCCUGUUUAUACCCAAAAGCAAUGAAAAAAUGUCCAGUCGGUAUAGCUGUAUCUGAAAGGGAUGUGUGUUGACAGUAUUAGGAAGCAGAAUAUGAAUUUUGAAAAGUCCCUGUUAAAUGGUUGCCUUUUGCAGUGUGCCUGGAUGGAGAUCAAAUGUGACCUACUUCAGGAAGCUGAAUCCUGGAGACCCAGGGCUUUUGUACAGCAGAACCUGCUGGUUCCUCCUUCUGUUUUUUAAAGAGGGGGAACUAGCUGGAGUGCCAUCACUGUGACAGGAAAAGCUGUGCACUUCUAGCUGCUUAUUUCAGUGACACAAAUUGUCUUCUUUGGCAUUAUCUUUACCGAUACGGUUGAACACAUUGCAUGGAGAGUUUCCAUGUCUUGUGUUCUGAGUCUCUCCAUUUCUUGUGUUCCAGUGUAUUUUUUAGUAAAUAUUACAUAUGGCCCCAUGUUAAAUGACUUUUGCUUCUAUUUUCUAUGACGGUCAGGGCAAAGGAUGAUAACUAAUGGGAAUUAUUUUAUGGAAAUGGAAAUUACUGUACCCAAAGGGAGAGCAAGGCCUGUGAGAGCCUGACAUGCAGCUCAGGGAAUGAGGUGUUCCCAAGCCCACAGUUCUGACGGACCUGGAACAUAUCCUCACUCAUCCAGUACAAAGUUGUCAGGUUGAAGGUGGUAAUGAAUUACUGAGGAACUACUGAAGCACUAGUUGUUUUUAAGCAGGAGGAAGAAAAGCAAUCCAGUCAUUUAGAUACCUGUUAGUCUGACCUCGUGGACAUUAAAAGCUUAGAAAAAAAUGUAAAGGAAAAAGUAGUUGGGGACAGAAAAUAAAUAAAGUGGAAAAUAAAGUAAAAAUGUGACAUAGCUUUAUUAAAGAUAGAUUGCAUUUAACUAAGAUUAUAUCUUUGCUAAUUGUUUUCUAGGCAAUGGCUGUACAAUAGAUUUAAUCUAACUGGAUUUAAUAAGAUAUUAAAACCAAUGCCAUAUGGCAAAUGCAUAGUUCAUCUGCAGAGCUAUUUGGUAGGGAAGGAGCUAGCUACAGACAGAUGACAAUAGUUUGGGUGGAAAGGUAGACUGUGAGGGUGGAGCUGAGCUCCUUAAGAAAUGACUUGGAGACAUAUCAGCAGGUUCAAAAAUUUAUUCAAUAAAUUAAUGGAGAGCAGGUCUAUAAAAAAAUAGCUACAUGGAAAAGGUAGGGAAGUCACCUCAAACGUACACCACCUGUGGAUGCACGGGGAGUGCAAAGGGAAGAGAGAGCAGAAAGUGGCUGGGUUCCGAUGCUCUCUCAAAACAGCAUCGCUGACUGCCCCUCUCAGAGGUGGAGUGCUGGACCACAGGGACCACAGGCUGACCCAGCGAGGGGAAGGACAGCUGCCUCGCAGACGGAGGCUUUCCGGCCCGCACGGGACGGCGUUAAGGACUGUUAGCUGUAACGACGGCCGCUGGAAGGAACAAGUCAUCACUAUGCCAGCAUUGCCUUUGGAUCAACUCCAGCUGACAGAAAGAGAUCCCAAGACAGGGAAGCUGAGAACUUUACCGGCACUGCACCCAGAAAUAAAAGCAGAUCGGUCUUUUGUGCUAUACAGACCGCCACCUGUUGUCAGAGACCCUGCUUUAGUGGAAGAAUUCUUGGAGCGAGCAAAAUUCAUUGCAGAUGACCUGAACUGGCUUCUGGCUUUGCCUCAUGACAAAUUUUGGUGCCAGGUAAUAUUUGAUGAGACACUUCAGAAAUGUCUGGAUUCCUACCUGCGCUAUGCCCCUCGCAGGUUUGAUGCUUUGUUGGAUUGCCAUCCAGAGGUGAAUGACAUGCAGAAAUGUCUUCAUCGGAGUGUCUUCCUGACUUUCCUCAGAAUGUCCACUCACAAGGAGUCCAAGGAUCAUUUUAUCACUCCCUCUGUCUUUGGAGAAAUUAUUUACAAUAAUUUCCUGUUCGACAUCCCUAAGAUUCUGGAUCUCUGUGUGCUUUUUGGGAAAGGAAAUGGUCUCCUGCUCCAGAAGAUGAUUGAAAAUAUCUUCACUCAGCAACCAAGUUACUUCAGUGAUCUAGACGAAACUCUGCCCACUGUCCUCCAGGUGUUCAACAAUAUUUUGCAUAAGUGUGGUUUGCAGUGUGAAGGAGCCUCUGCUGAGCCUCAGAAACUGGAAGAAAAAGUAAAUGUGACUCCAGGGAACAUGCCCCUUCAGGAGCUGAAGGACAUUGUGCUGUACUUAUGUGACACUUGCACGACGCUCUGGGCGUUUCUUGAUGUCUUCCCAUUGGCUUGCCAGACCUUCCAAAAACAUGAGUUUUGUUACAGAUUAGCUUCGUUUUAUGAAUUGGCAAUUCCUGAGCUGGAAUCUGCAAUUAAGAAGAGGCAUUAUGAGGAUAACAGUGUUUUUGCUGAUUUGUGGAGGAGAAUUUCACAUUCCAGAAAGAGGAUGAUAGAAGCUUUUCACAUCCUAAUAAACCAAGUCUGUCUGCAACCCAUCUUAGAAAGCAGCCGUGAGAAUAUUCAGCCUUUUAUUGAGGAAUUCCUACAGAUCUUCACUUCAGUGCUUCAGGAAAGGAGAUUUCUCCGUGACUAUGAUGAGCUGUUUCCUGUUGAGGAUGAUGUCAGUCUGCUUCAGCAAGCAUCCUCCACGCUAGAUGAGACCAGGACAGCCUAUAUCCUCCAAGCAGUGGAAAGUGCAUGGGAAGGGGUAGACAGGAGAAAAGCACAAGUCGUUAAAGAUCCAACACCACUAGCAGCAUCUAAUGGAGCAUCAGCAAUAGUGGAGAGCACUGCCGAGGACAUUGAAGAGCUCGGGGCUGCAUAUGCAUCAGAGGAUGAGUGUGCCGGUGCAGCUGCUGCACCCAUUGCCAAGGUGUCAGGGGUGGAGCUGGACUCUCUGAUCUCUCAAGUGAAAGACUUGCUGCCAGACCUUGGUGAGGGCUUCAUCCUGGCCUGCCUGGAAGAGUACAGUUACAAUGCGGAGCAAGUGAUCAACAACAUUCUAGAAGAUAAGCUAGUACCAUACUUGGAUAAGCUGGACCGAACAAUGCAAAGACAGCUGAAGCCAGACCCUACUCCUCUAGUCACUUCUCGCUAUAAUGUUUUCCAGAAUGAUGAGUUUGAUGUUUUCAGUAGGGAUUCAGUGGAUGUUUCUCGGAUACAAAAAGGCAAGCGGAGGGAGAAGGACACGACGAGGAGUUUGCUGAAUGACAAACGCCUGGUUGCUGAGCAGAAGGAGCGCUACAGCCAGUACAGUGUGAUUGUGGAGGAGAUUCCUGUGCAGCAAGGAGAAGCUCAACUCUACAAGGAGGACUAUGAGGACGAGUACGAUGACACUUAUGAUGGAAACCAAGUGGGGGCAAAUGAUGCUGACUCAGAUGAUGAGCUGAUCAGUAGGAGGCCGUUCACAAUUCCUCAGGUCUUGAGACCUAAAGGACAGGAGGAAGGACUGGAGGAAGAGGAAGAGGAUGAAGAGGAGGAGGAGGAAGCUGAAAAGGAAAGAACAAAGGACCAUUUUGUGCAGGACCCAGCUGUACUGCGGGAGAGAGCUGAAGCCAGGCGGCUAGCUUACCUUGCGAGGAAAGGGCACAAGCACGACAGCUCUGCUGUUGUUGGGAAUGUGAAGGGCCAUGGGCAGAACCGGGAAACGGUGCAGGAACGAAGGAAGAAGGAAGCAAACAAAAGCACACGAGCUAACCAUAAUCGACGAGUCAUGGCUGACAGAAAGCGGAAUAAAGGCAUGAUUCCUUCCUGAAAGACCAGGUGUUGGAUCAUCCCCAGUCCUCUGCUUAGGAGGAGACAGGUGUGCUCCGUUCCCUCGGCACCCCCUUCACUCAGGGGACUGGGUGUCGUGGUUCGGUGCCUGACACUUCAGCUCAUGCGGAACUGCACGCCCUGCAGGAGGCCUGCCCGUUCAUGGGAAGGAACUGCCCUCCAGGCUGACCCUGACUGCUUUUCAGUUUAUAGAGAUGUGUGUAUGACGGUGGGCUGCACCGCAAUGCAUUGGACAGGCUGCACCAGCCAUUUUUUUCCUUUUGUACUAUUUAUAAUUCUGAGAAUUUUAUUUUCAUACCAGCUCCGUACGCCCUCUCCGCAACUCAAGUGGGCUUCCAGGCCACACAACGGGCAGCUCUGAGAGCAAGGCUUCCCUGGAACAGCCCUCGUGGUUUUCUGCUCCACUGAAAUGCCUUAUUCUGAAGUACAAGUUGAAGGUUGAUAAGAAAACGCUCAGGCUAUUACCAUUGCCAACAGACACAAAGGAGUUCAGGGCACGCAUUGAAUCACCUCGUCCUGUCCAAGAAGCCGUUCUAUGUCCUGUCCGCGUAACGUGGCGUCCGGGCAGUUAUCAUCCCACCACAGCACUACUUUGAAACACAAGGAUGACUUGACCCAUCUCAUCGAACGCUCACGCCCGGGACAGCAGACUCCGCUGUCCCGUACAGCUCUGCGCGUUCACCCCUUCCUCUACUAAGGGCUAGAGAGCUACAGACCUGCGGAACGCGAAGCAAACUCAAUCCGUUUUAACCUUCCUGCGUCCCACCGCCUUGAAAACCUUUUCCCCAGCGGCUCCGCAGACCGGAGAAGCCCAGGACACACCGAGCC